CAGUAACCACGGGAAUACGAAGGGGGCUAGCGUUGUUCGGAUUUACUGGGCGUAAAGCGCACGUAGGCGGACUUUUAAGUCAGGGGUGAAAUCCCGGGGCUCAACCCCGGAACUGCCUUUGAUACUGGAAGUCUUGAGUAUGGUAGAGGUGAGUGGAAUUCCGAGUGUAGAGGUGAAAUUCGUAGAUAUUCGGAGGAACACCAGUGGCGAAGGCGGCUCACUGGACCAUUACUGACGCUGAGGUGCGAAAGCGUGGGGAGCAAACAGGAUUAGAUACCCCUGUAGUCCCUGUCUCUUAUAC
rnacentral:rRNA from 1 species